rnacentral:rRNA from 1 species
UACGAGGGAUCCUAGCGUUGUUCGGAAUCAUUGGGCGUAAAGCGAAUGUAGGCUGCCAUUCAAGUCAGUUGUGAAAGCCCCGGGCUCAACCCGGGAAGUGCUUCUGAUACUGUUUGGCUUGAGUACUAGAGAGGGUAGUAGAAUUCCAGGUGUAGUGGUGAAAUACGUAGAUAUCUGGAGGAAUACCGGUGGCGAAGGCGGCUACCUGGCUAUGUACUGACGCUGAGAUUCGAAAGCGUGGGGAGCAAACAGG